GACGAACGCUGGCGGCGUGCCUAACACAUGCAAGUCGAGCGGAGAUCAUAGCAAUAUGAUCUUAGCGGCGGACGGGUGAGUAACGCGUGGGCAACCUACCUUAGACUGGGGGAUAACACAGGGAAACUUGUGCUAAUACCGCAUAACAUGGUGAGAGGACAUCCUCUUAUCAUCAAAGGAGCAAUCCGGUUUUUAGAUGGGCCCGCGUCCGAUUAGCUAGUUGGUGGUGUAACGGACCACCAAGGCGACGAUCGGUAGCCGAACUGAGAGGUUGAUCGGCCACAUUGGGACUGAGACACGGCCCAGACUCCUACGGGAGGCUG
rnacentral:rRNA from 1 species